GAUGAACGCUGGCGGCGUGCCUAAUACAUGCAAGUCGAGCGAACAGACGAGGAGCUUGCUCCUCUGACGUUAGCGGCGGACGGGUGAGUAACACGUGGAUAACCUACCUAUAAGACUGGGAUAACUUCGGGAAACCGGAGCUAAUACCGGAUAAUAUAUUGAACCGCAUGGUUCAAUAGUGAAAGACGGUUUUGCUGUCACUUAUAGAUGGAUCCGCGCCGCAUUAGCUAGUUGGUAAGGUAACGGCUUACCAAGGCAACGAUGCGUAGCCGACCUGAGAGGGUGAUCGGCCACACUGGAACUGAGACACGGUCCAGACUCCUAAGGGAGGCAGCAGUAGGGAAUCUUCCGCAAUGGGCGAAAGCUUGACGGAGCAACGCCGCGUGAGUGAGGAAGGUCUUCGGAUCGUAAAACUCUGUUAUUAGGGAAGAACAAAUGUGUAAGUAACUAUGCACGUCUUGACGGUACCUAAUCAGAAAGCCACGGCUAACUACGUG
rnacentral:rRNA from 1 species